rnacentral:RNase_P_RNA from 2 species
AGAGUUGGCGAGGUAGUUGCAGUUCUUGGUGUCUUGUCACCUUGAAUUGAGGAAAGUCCGGGCUUCCAAAGACCAAACUGCUGGGUAACGCCCAGUGCGGGUGACCGUGAGGAAAGUGCCACAGAAAAAUACCGCCGUAGAAGAUCAAUCUUCUGCGGUAAGGGUGCAAAGGUGCGGUAAGAGCGCACCAGCAGCAUCGAGAGGUGCUGGCUCGGUAAACCCCAGUUGGAAGCAAGGUCGAGGGAAGCUAUGGUUGGUCUUUUACCAGCUUCCGAUGUAAGGGAGUACCGCUUGAGGCUUUUGGUAACAAAAGUCCCAGAUAGAUAACUACCCUCAAGUGUAUCUUGAGAACAGAACCCGGCUUAUGUCCAACUCUCUUU